GGAUUGUAGGCUGAAACUCGCCUACAUGAAGCUGGAGUUACUAGUAAUCGCAGAUCAGAAUGCUGCGGUGAAUGCGUUCCCGGGUCUUGUACACACCGCCCGUCACACCACGGAAGUUGGGGGCGCCCGAAGCCACUUAGCUAACCCUUUUGGGAAGCGAGUGUCGAAGGUGAAAUCAAUAACUGGGGUGAAGUCGUAACAAGGUAUC
rnacentral:rRNA from 1 species